ensembl:lncRNA
GUGAUUUGCAAGCAACUCAACUUGCUGGCUGUGCAUGGGUGUAACUCAGAGCAAGGCUUUGCCUCCCCAGCAAUGCUUACUCAUCAGUUCUGAAUUUGGCUUCUCCAAACAAUUAUAACCCUCCACAGACAUUGCAUAACAUCGCUGAGCAUGUGUGGUUUUCUUAUAUAAUUCCUGGUUGCAAAGCAGAGCUCCAGGCUAGAAGCCAAGUCACACAGGGCAUGAGCAGCUUCAGAAAUAACCACCAUUCAGGUUUGUUUACUGCAAGGAGCUCUCGAAGGAAACCAUCAAAUUAAGGAAAAUAAAGUUGAGAUGCUGGAGUGGAGCACAGACAAGCAACAGAGAGAUGAGAUUUUCAUCACUGAAAUGUCUUCUACAGGUUUUCCUUUGCCUCUGUACCUGCAGGAAGAAAAUCUCCGGGCAAGCACCUGGUUAUGGACUUUGUUUCCAUUUGGACCAUUCUGCUUCCUGCUGAAAAUGAGCAACUGGCUGCACUGGAAAAUUUCUGCAAUUUGCUCAGACUAACAGCUUGGAUGCCUGCUGGAUUCUGAGCAACAGAACCUGUCCCGUGUGACACCCAGUGUUUUCUCAGAAGUUAUUCUCCUCACUGUCAGUGGUCUUCAAUAGAAAACCUCUCAAAACAAAAGUAGGCAAAAAAUGCACCCCUCAGAAAUUGUGUGUGUUUGGUCCUGGAGCAGAAGAUCAGGAACAAAAGUUGGUUGAGCUUUUUACCUCUGACUUGACAGGGAACUAUUAGAGGGCAUAUCAGAGAAAGCAGAGAUUAAUGAAGGAUUCCUAGAACAGUAGAGGAAUUCCUACUUUAGAAACUCUUUUUAGGGGAACAGCACUAGUUCUUCAAAGAAAGGAAUGGCUCUGCUGCCAAGUGUUUCAGAGCAUUAAUUAUUCAUUUUUGCCAGGAGUUUGGAAACAGAACCAUGGAAUAGUUUGGGUUGGAGAGACCUUUAAAGGUCAUGUAGCCCAAGCCCCCCACUGUAAGCAGAGACAUCUGUAAUUCCAACAGGUUGUUCAGACUCCUGUCCAAAUUCUCCCUUAACAUUUCCAGGGAUGAGGCUUCUGCCACUGCCAGAGACUCAGCUCUGGUAAAUCACUUGGGAAUCCUCUCACUCGCCUCAGCUCCUAUCCAGACCAGAUCUCAACAGAGAUUUUAAAAGAUUUCUUCAGAAAAGCAUCAGAAACAGUUUCAAUUCAGUGCUGGGAAAUGAGACACUCGGCACUAACAGAUUUAAUAUUCAUCUUGUCACAUACUAGGUUGCCCUACUGAUCUUUGAGCUGCUCACACAAAAAGCAUCCUAUCGAGUUUCUGCUGAAAUAUCUUGAAUGCUCAGCAGCACAACCAUGCAGAGGAAUAUACAUAACAGGAAAUUAUUUUUUCUCCAAAAUUUUUAUGCACUGUUUACAGAUAAAAUGGCAAAACACAGUAAAUAUAUACUUAUGAGCACAUUCGAUUGUAUACUUAUAAAAAUAUUCAUCUUAUAAACACUUUAUUUGAAAUUUCUGAUUAUUAAAACAUAAAUUAAAUUUUGUUAUCUAUGUGCACUCAACUUUGUUAGAAAUGCUAUUAAAGAUUCAGGCUGUUUAAACAAUAAUACUCUGGAUAUCUAGAAAGGCUUCCAGUCUUCAUGAGGGCUUUUUUCAGGCUCUUCAUAGACAUUAAUUAAAGCUGUGAGAAACUCUGUGUUCUUGGUACUAUUUACACCUGUUUAAUACUGUUUCACGUGCUACAUCUGAGGUCAAACAGCAAAUCAGUAACAGAACCAGUGUCAGAAUUGGAGUAUCAGAACUCCUGAGACCUGCCUGAGCUAUUGGACAUUGUCUUCCACCAGACCACACUAUCAAUUAUAGAAAAUAACUUUUGAUUGCUCAGAGAACCAUCCGAGUACAGUUACUAUUAACACUUAUCACAAAAAGCUGUGUAAGCAGACUGAAGGAAACUCCCCCCAAACUUGUAAAUGUGCUAUUGACAGGCAAUUUCAUUAAAUCUGGUUUCACUUUAUUUGGGUUAUAUAUUCCAUUUCAUAAAAACCUUAUCGUAAAGAUCUAAAUCUGUGAAGAAAGACAUUAAGCAAUUCUUUAUUAUCUCUGCUGGUCCAUUAAAAUAAAUCUCAUCUAUCCCUUCCCCUAUUAUUCCA